GGCUUUCAUUGCAUAUUUCAGGAUCUUAGAUGGGAAUAGGCUUGUAAAACAGUAGAAGAACCAAAUCCAGUACAUGUACAAACUUAGAUAUGGUCUUAGUUUCUGAUCAGAUGUGUCAUGUUUAUCUGUUUCCUUUGGAGUCAAAUGCUGCUGAGUCACUCUCUUUGUGUGUAUACCUGCACCACUGCAUCAUAGGAACUUCUGUUUUAGACAAGUAUUCAUCUUCUUAUUUAAAAAUUUUUAUUUUUAAUUUUUUUAAAAGCAUCACGUGUCAAAUUGUCCUUAGUUUCUGUGAUCUUUCUACCAGCGGGCCUGCCUUUCUCAUAGCUCAAGAAAAUCAUUCAUAAAAAUGGAGCUGCUAUGUAAUUAAUUCAAAGUUGCAAUUGAUUAAUGAAACCAUUGUGCACUGGAACACCUUUUUUUAUACAACUGAUGAAUUGAUUAAUGUCACCUAGUUCCUAGAUUCUUUGAAGGGGAUCAA
rnacentral:misc_RNA from 1 species